GACAGAGGGUGCAAACGUUGUUCGGAAUUACUGGGCGUAAAGCGUGCGUAGGUGGUGAGUUAAGUCUGAUGUGAAAUCCCCGGGCUCAACCUGGGAAUGGCAUUGGAUACUGGCUCGCUGGAGUGCGGUAGAGGGUGGUGGAAUUCCCGGUGUAGCAGUGAAAUGCGUAGAGAUCGGGAGGAACAUCUGUGGCGAAGGCGGCCACCUGGACCAGCACUGACACUGAGGCACGAAAGCGUGGGGAGCAAACAGG
rnacentral:rRNA from 1 species